rnacentral:lncRNA from 10 species
GAGCCCCCAGGAGGGUUAAAUAUGGUAUGUGAGCAAAUGAUGAACAGAUCAGCGCUUCCUCCUACUGUCCCCCGAAGGUCGUUUUCACAACAGGAUCAGCUGCACAACACUCACAAAACAGAAAUGGACUCAAAGAUAGAAACUCCAAAACCGGCUGGAUUCCUGUUACUCCAUAACAGCUGGCCCCUCAGGGAGGACUUGCCUCUUGGGUGGCCGUGUACCUGAUUCUCCCACCUGCCUUGCAGCUUGUCCUUGCCUGCCUCCAGAGGCUUCCGUGGAGUCAGAGCCUUUGAGGCCCUCUCUUGCUCUUAUGUCCAGGUAACAUGGAGCAAAGAUAGAGCUGAAUUUUAAGAACCGCCCUGUCAGGGGAAACCACUCAUUAAAGUCAAACUCCUUGGCCGCAAAACCGCAGGUGGGGGUAGAA